UUCCUACGGGGGGCAGCAGUGAGGAAUAUUGGUCAAUGGGCGCAAGCCUGAACCAGCCAAGUCGCGUGAGGGAAGACGGCCCUACGGGUUGUAAACCUCUUUUGCCGGGGAGCAAGCCUGAGCACGUGUGCCCAGGCGGAGAGUACCCGGAGAAAAAGCAUCGGCUAACUACGUGCCAGCAGCCGCGGUAAUACGUAGGGGGCGAGCGUUAUCCGGAUUUACUGGGUGUAAAGGGAGCGUAGACGGUUCUGCAAGUCUGAAGUGAAAGCCCGUGGCUUAACCGCGGAACGGCUUUGGAAACUGUG
rnacentral:rRNA from 1 species